rnacentral:rRNA from 1 species
CAGUUCAGAUUGUAGGCUGAAACUCGCCUAUAUGAAGUCGGAAUUGCUAGUAAUCGCGGAUCAGCAUGCCGCGGUGAAUACGUUCCCGGGCCUUGUACACACCGCCCGUCACACCAUGAGAGUCGAUAACACCCGAAGCCUGUAGUCUAACAGCAAUGAGGACGCAGUCGAAGGUGGGAUUGAUAAUUAGGGUGAAGUCGUAACAAGGUAUC